UUGAACCUUGGGCCUGGCUGGCCGGUCCGCCUCACCGCGUGCACUGGUCCGGCCGGGUCUUUCCCUCUGCGGAACCCCAUGCCCUUCGCUGGGCGUGGCGGGGAAACAGGACGUUUACUUUGAAAAAAUUAGAGUGCUCCAGGCAGGCCUAUGCUCGAAUACAUUAGCAUGGAAUAAUGAAAUAGGACGCGCGGUUCUAUUUUGUUGGUUUCUAGGACCGCCGUAAUGAUUAAUAGGGACAGUCGGGGGCAUCAGUAUUCAAUUGUCAGAGGUGAAAUUCUUGGAUCUAUUGAAGACUAACCACUGCGAAAGCAUUUGCCAAGGAUGUUUUCAUUAAUCAGGAACGAAAGUUAGGGGAUCGAAGACGAUCAGAUACCGUCGUAGUCUUAACCAUAAACUAUGCCGACUAGGGAUCGGACGAUGUUAUUUUAUGACUCGUUCGGCACCUUGCGAGAAAUCAAAGUGCUUGGGCUCCAGGGGGAGUAUGGUCGCAAGGCUGAA
rnacentral:rRNA from 1 species